GAACUUCGGUUCACGAGUAAAGUGGCGCACGGGUGAGUAACGCGUAGGUAAUCUCCCCCUAUAUUCGGGAUAACAUCGGGAAACCGUUGCUAAUACCGGCUACGCUCUUUUUAACGCGAGUUAGAAAGAGGAAAGGUGACCUCUCAACGAAGUUGCCGUAUGGGGAUGAGCCUGCGUACCAUUAGCUAGUUGGUGGGGUAACGGCCUACCAAGGCGACGAUGGUUAGCGGGUCUGAGAGGAUGAUCCGCCACACUGGAACUGAAACACGGACCAGACUCCUACGGGAGGCAGCAGUGAGGAAUUUUGCGCAAUGGGGGCAACCCUGACGCAGCGACGCCGCGUGAGUGAUGAAGGCCUUAGGGUCGUAAAACUCUGUCAGCAGGGAAGAAAUGCCAUGUGGUUAAUACCCAUGUGGUUUGACGGUACCUGCAAAGGAAGCACCGGCUAACUCCGUGCCAGCAGCCGCGGUAAUACGGAGGGUGCGAGCGUUAAUCGGAAUUACUGGGCGUAAAGGGCGCGUAGGCGGCCUGUCAAGUCAGAUGUGAAAGCCCACGGCUUAACCGUGGAAGUGCAUUUGAAACUGCCAGGCUUGAGUAUCAGAGGGGAAAGUGGAAUUCCCGGUGUAGAGGUGAAAUUCGUAGAUAUCGGGAGGAAUACCGGUGGCGAAGGCGACUUUCUGGCUGAAUACUGACGCUGAGGCGCGAAAGCGUGGGGAGCAAACAGGAUUAGAUACCCUGGUAGUCCACAGCUGUAAACGAUGUGCACUAGGUGUAGGAGGUGUUGACCUUUCUGUGCCGCAGCUAACGCAUUAAGUGCACCGCCUGGGGAGUACGGUCGCAAGAUUAAAACUCAAAGGAAUUGACGGGGGCCCGCACAAGC
rnacentral:rRNA from 1 species